GCCCAACCCUACGUGUUUCGUCCGGUAAUCCGAUCUUCCUCAGGGGUAUCGUCUGUUAAGUCCUCAAUGUGAAGUCAAUCUGAUGGCUCUUUAGUGUCCGCUCUUUUUGAAUCCCGCUAGCCGCUCCUCUUUCUAACAGCAGACCAAUCCGAUGCUGUGAACCGCGGCUGUAGCACAUCACUCCAGGAUUGGAUGACGUCAUGUCUUCUUCCAUACAAGUGGACGUAAACGUGUGCGUUCCAUCUAUGCGAGGACAUAUAAAGCGCUUGCGGGUCAUUACUCGCAUUGAAU